rnacentral:rRNA from 1 species
AGAGUUUGAUCCUGGCUCAGGACGAACGCUGGCGGCGUGCUUAACACAUGCAAGUCGAACGGAAAGGCUCCUUCGGGAGUGCUCGAGUGGCGAACGGGUGAGUAACACGUGGGUGAUCUGCCCUGCACUUCGGGAUAAGCUUGGGAAACUGGGUCUAAUACCGGAUAGGACCGCAUGCUGCAUGGUGUGUGGUGGAAAGCGUUUAGUGGUGUGGGAUGGGCCCGCGGCCUAUCAGCUUGUUGGUGGGGUGAUGGCCUACCAAGGCGACGACGGGUAGCCGGCCUGAGAGGGUGUCCGGCCACACUGGGACUGAGAUACGGCCCAGACUCCUACGGGAGGCAGCAGUGGGGAAUAUUGCACAAUGGGCGCAAGCCUGAUGCAGCGACGCCGCGUGGGGGAUGACGGCCUUCGGGUUGUAAACCUCUUUCACCAUCGGCGAAGCCUCAAGUUUUCUUGGGGUGACGGUAGGUGGAGAAGAAGCACCGGCCAACUACGUGCCAGCAGCCGCGGUAAUACGUAGGGUGCGAGCGUUGUCCGGAAUUACUGGGCGUAAAGAGCUCGUAGGUGGUUUGUCGCGUUGUUCGUGAAAUUCCCUGGCUUAACUGGGGGCGUGCGGGCGAUACGGGCAGACUGGAGUACUGCAGGGGAGACUGGAAUUCCUGGUGUAGCGGUGGAAUGCGCAGAUAUCAGGAGGAACACCGGUGGCGAAGGCGGGUCUCUGGGCAGUAACUGACGCUGAGGAGCGAAAGCGUGGGGAGCGAACAGGAUUAGAUACCCCCGUAGUCC